rnacentral:pre_miRNA from 16 species
CUGCUUCUAGGGUCAGGGGACUCGGCUGAAGCUUAUCGUGUUUAUCUGCAUUUUGUAUAGAUAUACCCGUAUAAGUUUCCGCUGAGCCCCCUUUGACUCU